ACACAUCAAACAUUUUGGAGAGCAUGUGGUUAUUGUUCACUACAUAGUUUACAAUAAACUUAGUGAACCAUUAGUAUAGGGACAUAAAGGUGAAGUCCUUGCCUAGUUUCCGUCUCGUUAAAGUGGUUUAUCACUUCAACACUCAAUGAUUCAAAAUCAUCAUAAGUCUAUGUUAAUGGACUAUUUUUGUCAACCAACCAUUAUGUUCUAAACAUAAUUACAAACCUUCAAG
rnacentral:lncRNA from 1 species